rnacentral:rRNA from 1 species
GACGAACGCUGGCGGCGUGCUUAACACAUGCAAGUCGAACGAGUGGCGAACGGGUGAGUAAUACGUGGGUAACCUGACCUCUGUUUGGGUUAAUCCUUGGAAACGGGGUCGAAUACCGAAUAAAGGGUGAGGGGCUCGGGGCCUAUCAGCUUGUUGGUGGGGUGAUGGCCUACCGAGGCGGUGACGAGCAGCCGGCCUGAGAGGGUGAACAGCCACAUGGCGAAUGAGACGCAGCUCAGCCUGCUAAGGGAGGGAGCAGUCAGGAAUAGUGUGCAAGCGGCGGAAGUCUGACGUGGGAGUGCCGCGUGCAGGAAGCCGGUCUUCGGAAUGUACACGUCUUUAGGCAGUGACGCGGUACCUGUAGAAUAAGCCACGGCUAACUACGUGCCAGCCGCCGCGGUAAUAC